UAGAGGUUGAAAAAUCCUAUAAUGCCACUUUCUCCGAUGAGAAAUACAGUAGUAGUUUGUAUUUCAUGUUAUACCCCUUGCACAUGGAUAUGUUGCUACAAUGGGUAAAUUUCAAGAAUUUCAUUGGGAACAGCUGAUAAAUAUUUAAUCACUUCACUUGAGUGAUUAAAUUAUUGUGGCAGGGGCAGAACUAGAAGUUUAUAUUUGGGGGGCCAAAAAUAAAUAUUGAAAAGAAAAUAAAAAAAAAAUAUGAAUGAAUUUUACAUAAAAGUGCAAAGGUCAAAACAAAAAUAAAAAUAAAAAUAUUGGAGGACCAAAUAAUUUUUUUUGAAAAAAAUACACUCAAAUU
rnacentral:misc_RNA from 1 species